rnacentral:rRNA from 1 species
AGAGUUUGAUCCUGGCUCAGGAUGAACGCUGGCGGCGUGCCUAAUACACGCAAGUCGAACGGGGAGUACUUACUUCGGUUUUUACUCCUAGUGGCGAACGGGUGAGUAACGCGUUGGUGACCUGCCCCGAAGCGGGGGACAACAGUUCGAAAGGACUGCUAAUACCCCAUGUGGUCGUACUGGUUAGAGGCUAUACGACUAAAGGAGUAAUCCACUUCGGGAGGGGCCUGCGUCCCAUCAGCUAGUUGGUAAGGUAACGGCCUACCAAGGCGAAGACGGGUAGGGGACCUGAGAGGGUGGCCCCCCACACUGGCACUGAAACACGGGCCAGACAUCUACGGAUGGCAGCAGUAGGGAAUAUUGCACAAUGGGCGAAAGCCUGAUGCAGCAACGCCGCGUGCGCGAAGAAGGCCUUCGGGUUGUAAAGCGCUUUUCUGGAGGAAGAGGAAGGACGGUACUCCAGGAAUAAGGAUCGGCUAACUACGUGCCAGCAGCCGCGGUAACACGUAGGAUCCGAGCGUUAUCCGAAUUUACUGGGCGUAAAGCGCGUGUAGGCGGCCGGGUAAGUUGGACGUGAAAUCUCCUGGCUCAACUAGGAGAUGUCGUUCAAAACUGCCUGGCUAGAGGGCGACAGAGGGAGGUGGAAUUCCCGGUGUAGUGGUGAAAUGCGUAGAUAUCGGGAGGAACACCAGUGGCGAAGGCGGCCUCCUGGGUCGCCCCUGACGCUCAGACGCGAAAGCUAGGGGAGCAAACGGGAUUAGAUACCCCGGUAGUCCUAGCUGUAAACGAUGUGGACUUGGCGUUGGUGGGGUUAAAUCCAUCAGUGCCGUAGCUAACGCGAUAAGUCCACCGCCUGGGGACUACGGUCGCAAGAUUAAAACUCAAAGGAAUUGACGGGGACCCGCACAGCAGCGGAGCGUGUGGUUUAAUUCGAGGCUACGCGAAGAACCUUACCUGGGCUUGACAUGCAUGUAGUAGGAUCCGAAAGGUGGACCGACCCCCUCGGGAGCUUGCACAGGUGCUGCAUGGCUGUCGUCAGCUCUGGCGGGAGGGGUCGGGUUAAUUCUGGUAACAGACCCAACCCCUGCCCUGUGUUUUACUUGUCCAGGGGACUGCCGGUAUAUCCGAGAAAAAAAGAAUGAGUCAGUCACCUGGCCUUAUGUCCAGGCUACACACGCUCCAUGGCGCGGUCAAUGGGGGUGUCUAGUCCGCGAGCGCGGAACCAA